rnacentral:rRNA from 1 species
GGUAUGAAUGGCUAAACGAGAAAUCGGCUUUUUUUGUCAUAAAAGUUGAAUUUAAUUUUUUAGUGAAAAAGCUAAAAUUCUUCAGAAAGACGAGAAGACCCUAUAGAGUUUUAUAUUUUUAUAAAUUUUUUUUUAGUGGAUUUUUUUGGAAAAAAUUUUUUAUAGAUAUUUUGUUGGGGCGACAUUUAGAUAAGUGAAACUCUUUAUUUUGAAGACUUUAUUAAAAGAAUGAAUUGAUCCUUUAUAAGAGAUCAAAAGAAAAAAUUACCUUAGGGAUAACAGCGUAAUCUUUUUUGAGAGUUCUAAUCGACAAAAAGGUUUGCGACCU